CUCCCUUACUGUGUGGUUCUACACAACAGUGAAGAAAAUAUCAAGACUCCAAAACAAAAUGAGGCAGGUGCAUCAAGGAGCCUCACAGGCAAGUUCAAGCACUUCUGAACCCAACCUGAAAGAUUGUGCCUCCCCUGUCCUGGCCUCCUGCCAUCCAGACUACACAAAGCAGCAGACCUCUUCCUCUACACCGUCAAUACACCGUCUA